GGCCCAGAUCGUUUACCGUGAAAAAAUUAGAGUGUUCAAAGCAGGCAGAUCCAAUUUUCUGCCACCGAAUACAUUAGCAUGGGAUAAUGGAAUAGGACCCUGUCCUCCUAUUUUCAGUUGGUUUUGGCAGCGCGAGGACUAGGGUAAUGAUUAAUAGGGAUAGUUGGGGGCAUUAAUAUUUAAUUGUCAGAGGUGAAAUUCUUGGAUUUAUGAAAGAUUAACUUCUGCGAAAGCAUCUGCCAAGGAUGUUUUCAUUAAUCAAGAACGAAAGUUAGGGGAUCGAAGACGAUCAGAUACCGUCGUAGUCUUAACCAUAAACGAUGCCGACCAGCGAUUAGGAGACGUUGAAUACAAAACACCACCAUCGGCGCGGUCGUCCUUGGCGUCGGUCCUUCACGGGGCCGGCGCGAGGGCGGCUUAGCCCGGUGGCACCGGUGAAUGACUCCCCUAGCAGCUUGUGAGA
rnacentral:rRNA from 3 species